rnacentral:rRNA from 1 species
ACGUAGGAGGCAAACGUUAUCCGGAUUUAAUGGGCGUAAAGCGCGUGUAGGUGGUUUGGUAAGUAGAGCGUGAAAGCUCCUGGCUCAACUGGGAGAGGUAGUUCUAAACUGCCGGACUAGAGGAUGGUAGAGGGAGGUGGAAUUCCGGGAUUUGGGGUGGAAUGCGCUGAUAUACGGAGGAACACCAGUGGCGAAAGCGGCGUCCUGGACCAGUCCUGACACUUAGACACGAAAGCUAGGGUAGCAAACAG